AAAUGAAUAGACGGGGGCCCGCACAAGCGGAGGAACAUGUGGUUUAAUUCGAUGAUACGCGAGGAACCUUACCCGGGCUUGAAAGUUAGUGACGGACUGUGAAAGCGGUCUUCCCUUCGGGGCACGAAACUAGGUGCUGCAUGGUUGUCGUCAGCUCGUGCCGUGAGGUGUCGGGUUAAGUCCCAUAACGAGCGCAACCCUUACUGUUAGUUGCCAGCGGGUAAAGCCGGGAACUCUGACAGGACUGCCGGUGUAAGCCGAGAGGAAGGUGGGGAUGACGUCAAAUCAGCACGGCCCUUACGUCCGGGGCGACACACGUGUUACAAUGGUCGGUACAGAGGGUCGCUACCCCGCGAGGGGAUGCCAAUCUCAAAAGCCGAUCUCAGUUCGGAUCGGAGGCUGAAACUCGCCUCCGUGAAGUUGGAUUCGCUAGUAAUCGCGCAUCAGCCAUGGCGCGGUGAAUACGUUCCCGGGCCUUGUACACACCGCCCGU
rnacentral:rRNA from 1 species